GAUGAAGAACGCAGCGAAAUGCGAUAAGUAAUGUGAAUUGCAGAAUUCAGUGAAUCAUCGAAUCUUUGAACGCACAUUGCGCCCGCCAGUAUUCUGGCGGGCAUGCCUGUCUGAGCGUCACUUCAACCCUCAUGCCCCUAGGGCGUGGUGUUGGGGAUCGGCCAAAGCCCGCGAGGGACGGCCGGCCCCUAAAUCUAGUGGCGGACCCGUCGUGGCCUCCUCUGCGAAGUAGUGAUAUUCCGCAUCUGAGAGCGACGAGCCCCUGCCGUUAAACCCCCAACUUUCCAAGGUUGACCUCAGAUCAGGUAGGAAUACCCGCUGAACUUAAGCAUAUCAAUAAGCGGAGGA
rnacentral:misc_RNA from 1 species